UUUUACUGCUGCUUCAGCAAGUAACAAAUUUUCCGAAGUCCAAAUCAUUCAGUUAGGACUAGCACACAGGGAGGGACCUGGCAGUCUACCCUCUACUGGUCAUUAUCACUUCUAUUUUCACAAAAGUCCAGAGCUAGAGGCAUUGGAUUCCAUGUCUGCAGGAAGUCUGGGAUGAGUUUUGUCUCUCUAACCAUACUUUAUGGAACAAACAUACACACAACACACACAUGCACACCUCCCAAGGGCUGCCCGAUCGUUGCUGCAUGGAAUUCCUGGACAUUUUCUCCUUAAUGAGAUGCUAGCCUCUGUCUCUCUGCAGUCACAGUCAAGAAAUGGAGUGGAAUAUACGCUCAGGUACAUUAUAAUAUAAGAUGGGAAAAAAAAAUUCCCAACUACUGGAAAACUGUAAGACACCUUCAUUUUCUAUGUCAUCAAUAAAUCUCGUGUUUCCCUAGGUCUUCCAGAAUAAGGGAGACAAACAUAGUUAUACCAGGAAAAUGACAUGAUAACUAUUCUAGUAAAUUAUUGAAUAAAUAAUUCUUUAGCCAAGGUCACUUGUCCUCAGUUUUGAUCAGUGCUCAGGAGAAGGAGAUAAACUAUGCCUAAUGAUAUAACCAUGCUAUACCCCUGCUGGCUGUAACCAUGCUAUUGUCAUAUUUGAGGUGCCUCUUCAAUUAAAUGCCUUUAUAGGCUAACCUGUCUCUGAUGAUCAUUUAUGUCUAAUAUGUUCCAGGCACUCUCCUAGGCUCUGGAGAGUAAACAGUGAAUAGAAAUAAAGUCUAUCAACAAGGAAUUUAGAGUCUAAAGGGGGAAGUUGAAAAACAAAUAGCCAUUUUCAUAAGACGGCUGAGUAAUAUAAUAAAUUUAAUAAACAUAAUAUGUUGAGAAAGCAUAUAACAUAUUAAGAAUAAAAGAAAUUCUGAUAAAUGAGGGAAGAGAAAAGCAACACAAAAGCCAGAGAACUCAUUAAGGAAUUUAUGUGUAAGAUGAUAGUCCCUAAUAGUUUUUAAAUAGCAAGGUAAAUAACCCUCAUUGAGAGUAUCAGAUUAGAAUUAUCAGUAGGAUUCUAUAAGAAAGAGUCGAUUAGUAUGUGUGUGUUCAUUGGUGGGUGUUGAGGAGACAAGAAAAAUAAAGGAAGUUUCAAGUACUAGCUAGCAAAUAGAAAUCAUAUUAUUUGGAUAAUCAAAAAGUUAGAUAAUCUAUAAGUCUUGUAGGGGUUUAUGUUAUAGGAGAAGUUUUGGAAGAGGGCAAAAGAGGAUUUACAAAUGAAAUUUAAGUUUCUGGCCUGCAUAAUUAGGUUGAUGUGGUUAUUCAUAAAUAAUGCAAGGA
rnacentral:lncRNA from 1 species